rnacentral:rRNA from 1 species
GAUGAACGCUGACAGAAUGCUUAACACAUGCAAGUCAACUUGAACUUCGGUUUUGGUGGCGGACGGGUGAGUAACGCGUAAAGAACUUGCCUCACAGCUAGGGACAACAUGUGGAAACGAAUGCUAAUACCUGAUAUUAUGAUUAUAUGGCAUCGUAUAAUUAUGAAAGCUAUAUGCGCUGUGAGAGAGCUUUGCGUCCCAUUAGCUAGUUGGAGAGGUAACAGCUCACCAAGGCGAUGAUGGGUAGCCGGCCUGAGAGGGUGAUCGGCCACAAGGGGACUGAGACACGGCCCUUACUCAUUCGGGAAGCAGCAGUGGGGAAUAUUGGACAAUGGACCGAGAGUCUGAUCCAGCAAUUCUGUGUGCAAGAUGAAGUUUUUCGGAAUGUAAAGUGCUUUCAGUUGGGAAGAAAAAAAUGACGGUACCAACAGAAGAAGUGACGGCUAAAUACGUG